rnacentral:rRNA from 1 species
GGAGGAUGCGAGCGUUAUCCGGAUUUAUUGGGUUUAAAGGGAGCGUAGACGGGUUUUUAAGUCAGCUGUGAAAGUUUGGGGCUCAACCUUAAAAUUGCAGUUGAAACUGGAGACCUUGAGUACGGUUGAGGCAGGCGGAAUUCGUGGUGUAGCGGUGAAAUGCUUAGAUAUCACGAAGAACCCCGAUUGCGAAGGCAGCCUGCUAAGCCGCCACUGACGUUGAGGCUCGAAAGUGCGGGUAUCAAACAGGAUUAGAUACCCUGGUAGUCCGCACGGUAAACGAUGGAUACUCGCUGUUGGCGAUAGACGGUCAGCGGCCAAGCGAAAGCGUUAAGUAUCCCACCUGGGGAGU